rnacentral:rRNA from 1 species
GAUGAACGCUGGCGGCGUGCUUAACACAUGCAAGUCGAACGGAAAGGCUCCUGCUUGCAGGGGUACUCGAGUGGCGAACGGGUGAGUAACACGUGGGUGAUCUGCCCUGCACUUCGGGAUAAGCCUGGGAAACUGGGUCUAAUACCGGAUAGGACGAUGGUUUGGAUGCCAUUGUGGAAAGUUUUUCGGUGUGGGAUGAGCUCGCGGCCUAUCAGCUUGUUGGUGGGGUAAUGGCCUACCAAGGCGUCGACGGGUAGCCGGCCUGAGAGGGUGUACGGCCACAUUGGGACUGAGAUACGGCCCAGACUCCUACGGGAGGCAGCAGUGGGGAAUAUUGCACAAUGGGCGCAAGCCUGAUGCAGCGACGCCGCAUGGGGGAUGACGGCCUUCGGGUUGUAAACUCCUUUCGCUAGGGACGAAGCGCAAGUGACGGUACCUGGAGAAGAAGCACCGGCUAACUACGUG